AUAACGGUCCUAAGGUAGCGAAAUUCCUUGUCAGGUAAGUUCUGACCCGCACGAAAGGCGUAAUGAUCUGGGUACUGUCUCGACCAUAGACUCGGUGAAAUCUUAAUACCUGUGAAAAUGCAGGUUACCCGCGACUGGACGGAAAGACCCCGUGGAGCUUUACUGUAGCUUGAUAUUGGAAUUCGGUGAAUUAUGUAGAGGAUAGGUGGGAGACGUUGAAACUAAGACGCUAGUCUUAGCGGAGUCAACCUUGGAAUACCACCCUUAAUUUAUUGGAUUUCUAACCUAGGACCAUUAUCUGGUUCAGGGACAGUGUCUGGUGGGCAGUUUGACUGGGGCGGUCGCCUCCUAAAAUGUAACGGAGGCGCCCAAUGGUUCCCUCAGAAUGGUUGGAAAUCAUUCAUAGAGCGUAAAGGUAUAUAGGGAGCUUGACUGCGAGACCUACAAGUCGAGCAGGUGCGAAAGCAGGGCUUAGUGAUCAGGCGGUUUCUGUAUGGAAAGGCCGUCGCUUAACGGAUAAAAGUUACCCCGGGGAUAACAGGCUGAUACCACCCAAUAGUUCACAUAGACGGUGGUGUUUGGCACCUCGAUGUCGGCUCGUCAUAUCCUGGAGGUGGAGUCGCUUCCAAGGGUUGGGCUGUUCGCCCAUUAAAAUGGCACGCGAGCUGGGUUCAGAACGUCGUGAGACAGUUCGGUCCCUAUCCGUCGUGGGCGCAGGAAAAUUGAGGAGAGCUAUCCUUAGUACGAGAGGACCGGGAUGGACCUACCUCUGGUGUAUCUGUUGUCAUGCCAGUGGCAGUGCAGAGUAGCUAUGUAGGGAAGGGAUAAACGCUGAAAGCAUCUAAGCGUGAAGCCCCCUCCAAGAUGAGUUUUCCCAUUGUUUUAAACAAGUAAAAUCCCAAAAAGACUAUUUGGUUGAUAGGCUAGAAGUGUAAGUGUAGCGAUACAUUGAGCGGACUAGUACUAAUAGAUUGAGGAUUUAACCAU
rnacentral:rRNA from 1 species